rnacentral:rRNA from 1 species
UAGUCAUAUGCUUGUCUCAAAGAUUAAGCCAUGCAUGUCUCAGUACACGCCUUCAUAUGGUAAAACCGCGAAUGGCUCAUUAAAUCAGCUAUUAUUUAUUGGAUCGUACACAUUUGUUCGGAUAACUGUAGUAAUUCUAGAGCUAAUACGUUCCACUAUGCCCUGACCGCAAGGAAAGGGUGGAUUUAUUAGAUCAAAAUCAAUCUUGUUCGCAAGUUAGUUUGAUGACUCUGGAUAACUUUACUGAUCGCACAACCUUGUGUUGGCGAUUUAUCCUUCAAGUGUCUGCCCUAUCAACCAUUGAUGGUAGGCUAUAGUCCUAUCAUGGUGAUAACGGGUAACGGGGAAUCAGGGUUCGAUUCCGGAGAGUUAGCCUGAGAAACGGCUACCACAUCCAAGGAAGGCAGCAGGCACGCAAAUUACCCACUCCCAGCACGGGGAGGUAGUGACGAAAAAUAACAAUGCGGGACUCUUUAGAGGCUCCGUAAUUGGAAUGAGUUCAUAUUAAAUCCUUGAACGAGGAUCAAUUGGAGGGCAAGCCUGGUGCCAGCAGCCGCGGUAAUUCCAGCUCCAAUAGCGUAUAUUAACGUUGUUGCAGUUAAAAAGCUCGUAGUUGGAUCAUUGGAUUGACAGCAUUGUACAUCUUGGAUGUUACUGUGCUAUCAGCCAGAAUAGUCCUUGCAUACAUUAGAUGAUCUUCACUGAUUGUCUUUUGUGGCGGACAAGUUUACUUUGAAAAAAUUAGAGUGCUUAAAGCAGGCAAUUGCCUGAAUACUGUUGCAUGGAAUAAUGAAAUAGGACUUCGUUUCUAUUUUAUUGGUUUAGGAAACGUGGUAAUGAUUAAAAGGGACAGACGGGGCAUUGUAUGCCGCGUUAGAGUGAAAUCUUAGAUCGCGCAGACAACUACUGCGAAAGCAUUUGCCAAGUAUGUCUUCAUUAAUCAAGAACGAAAGUCAGAGGUUCGAAGACGAUCAGAUACCGUCCUAGUUCUGACCAUAAACAAUGCCAACUGAUAAUUCGUGAUGGUAUCGAAAUUUUCCACACGAGCAGUCUCCGGGAAACCUUAAGUCUUUGGGUUCCGGGGGUAGUAUGGUUGCAAAGCUGAAACUUAAAGGAAUUGACGGAAGGGCACCACCAGGAGUGGAGCCUGCGGCUUAAUUUGACUCAACACGGGAAAACUUACCCGGCCAGGACACUGUGAGGAUUGACAGAUUGAUUGCUCUUUCUUGAUUCGGUGGGUGGUGGUGCAUGUCCGUUCUUAGUUGGUGGAGCGAUUUGUCUGGUUAAUUCCGGUAACGAACGAGACUGUAACCUGCUAACUAGUACGCUCAUGCACUGACGGUGAGCGAAUAUACUUCUUAGAGGGACAAGCGGCGUUUAGCCGCACGAAAUUGAGCAAUAACAGGUCUGUGAUGCCCUUAGAUGUUCGGGGCCGCACGCGCGCUACACUGACGAUCACAGCGAGUAUAGUCCUUACCCGAUAGGGUUAGGAAACCUGUUGAAUGGUCGUCGUGACAGGGAUUGGGGAUUGCAAUUAUUCCCCAUGAACGAGGAAUUCCUAGUAAGGACAAGUCAUUAGCUUGUGCUGAUUAUGUCCCUGCCCUUUGUACACACCGCCCGUCGCUACUACCGAUUGAAUAGUCUAGUGAGGUUAUUGGAUUAGGAGUAAGGUAGUGGAAACAUUACUUUUUUCCUGAAAAGAUAAUCAAACUUGAUUAUUUAGAGGAAGUAAAAGUCGUAACAAGGUUUCUGU